rnacentral:rRNA from 1 species
AGAACGAACGCUGGCGGCAGGCUUAACACAUGCAAGUCGAACGCCCCGCAAGGGGAGUGGCAGACGGGUGAGUAACGCGUGGGAAUCUACCUGGUUCUACGGAAUAACUGAGGGAAACUUCAGCUAAUACCGUAUACGCCCCAAGGGGGAAAGAUUUAUCGGUGCCAGAUGAGCCCGCGUUGGAUUAGCUAGUUGGUAGGGUAAUGGCCUACCAAGGCGACGAUCCAUAGCUGGUCUGAGAGGAUGAUCAGCCACACUGGGACUGAGACACGGCCCAGACCCCUACGGGAGGCAGCAGUGGGGAAUAUUGGACAAUGGGCGAAAGCCUGAUCCAGCCAUGCCGCGUGAGUGAUGAAGGCCUUAGGGUUGUAAAGCUCUUUCAGUGGGAAGAUAAUGACGGUACCACAGAAGAAGCCCCGGCUAACUUCGUGCCAGCAGCCGC